CCCCUCUCAGGAUCCCAACUGGAGAGUUUUCACUACUCUACCAGUCUUUGCUACAGGAGGGAGAGUCGAGCAGAGGCAUACCUAUUCCAUUUCUAGCUUGGGCAAUUGCUAGCGAGUGGAAGGCAAUCUGCUACACGU